AAAGGAAUUGACGGGACCCCGCACAAGCGGUGGAUCAUGUUGUUUAAUUCGAUGAUACGCGAAGAACCUUACCAGGUCUUGACAUCCCCCGCGAUGCUUUAGAGAUAAAGCGGAGGUAUUCGGGGAGACAGGUGGUGCAUGGUUGUCGUCAGCUCGUGUCGUGAGAUGUUGGGUUAAGUCCCGCAACGAGCGCAACCCCUAUUGCUAGUUACCAUCAUUAAGUUGGGGACUCUAGCGAGACUGCCAGUAAUAAACUGGAGGAAGGUGGGGAUGACGUCAAAUCAUCAUGCCCCUUAUGACCUGGGCUACAAACGUGAUACAAUGGCUGGAACAAAGGGAUGCGAAGCAGUGAUGUGGAGCGAAACCCAUAAAAACAGUCUCAGUUCGGAUUGAAGUCUGCAACUCGACUUCAUGAAGUCGGAAUCGCUAGUAAUCGCGGAUCAGAACGCCGCGGUGAAUACGUUCUCGGGGUUU
rnacentral:rRNA from 1 species